UAGAACAGUUUAGAUAAGAGGACUCGGGAAAAAAAUAUCUGUAACUUCGGGAAAAAUGUCUAAGGAAUGGGGUGCUCCUGUGCUGAAAUUUAAGGUUUUUCUUACGAAACUAUCAGUGCAACUGGAUGGGAUCUGUUCGAGACUCUUUUACGGACGCGCUUGAGCCACUUCGGGUGUCCGGUGCACACCUAACACUCAACGUACAAACAAGAGGGAAUCUGAUUGUCUAAUUAAAACACUGCAUUGCGGUGGUUAGAAAGUGGUGUUGACGCAAUGUGAUUUCCGCCCAGUGUUCUGGAUGUCAACACGAAGAAAAUCAACCAAGAGCGGGGUAAACGAUGGGAGUAACUUUGACUUUCUAAAGACACCCCAAUACCUCGUCAUCUAACUAGUGAUGCGCAUGGUGGAUUUACGAGAUUUCUAUUGACCCUAUCUACUAUCUGGCGAAUCCAUAGUCAAGGGAAGGGCCUUAG
rnacentral:ncRNA from 1 species